rnacentral:rRNA from 1 species
UACGUAGGGGGGCUAGCGUUGUCCGGAAUCAUUGGGCGUAAAGAGCGUGUAGGCGGCCCGGUAAGUCCGCUGUGAAAGUCGGGGGGCUCAACCCUCGAAUGCCGGUGGAUACUGUCGGGCUAGAGUGCGGAAGAGGCGAGUGGAAUUCCUGGUGUAGCGGUGAAAUGCGCAGAUAUCAGGAGGAACACCGAUUGCGAAGGCAGCUCGCUGGGACGUAACUGACGCUGAGACGCGAAAGCGUGGGGAGCGAACAGG